UACGUAGGUGGCAAGCGUUGUCCGGAAUUAUUGGGCGUAAAGCGCGCGCAGGCGGUCCUUUAAGUCUGCUGUGAAAGCCCACGGCUCAACCGUGGAGAGUCAUUGGAAACUGGGGGACUUGAGUACAGAAGAGAAGAGUGGAAUUCCACGUGUAGCGGUGAAAUGCGUAGAGAUGUGGAGGAACACCAGUGGCGAAGGCGACUCUUUGGUCUGUAACUGACGCUGAGGCGCGAAAGCGUGGGGAGCAAACAGG
rnacentral:rRNA from 1 species